GUCUCCGUUGGUGAACCAGCGGAGGGAUCAUU
rnacentral:rRNA from 9 species